UACGUAGGGGCCAAGCGUUGUCCGGAUUUAUUGGGCGUAAAGAGCUCGUAGGCGGUUCGGCAAGUCAGCUGUGAAAUCUCCACGCUCAACGUGGAGGGGUCAGCUGAUACUGCUGUGACUCGAGUCCGGUAGGGGAGUGUGGAAUUCCCGGUGUAGCGGUGAAAUGCGCAGAUAUCGGGAGGAACACCGGUGGCGAAGGCGGCUCACUGGCUCAUUACUGACGCUCAGGCGCGACAGCGUGGGGAUCAAACAGG
rnacentral:rRNA from 1 species